CAAGUUUCACAAAAUCUAAAAGUAUUGUGUCAGGAUAUCAAAUUUAUCUUUCUAGUUGUCAAAAGUCAAGAUAUCAGAUUUAUCUUUCUAGAGAACCUUCAUGGGAAAUUCCUUGGCAUGUACGCAGGAAUGUGGCAACACUUGCAAGUCUAUCAGAUUUGGAUGUUGUUGAGAUUGUUACAGCAAUUUGAGCGGUUCUUCCACUUCGUUCAUCACUUAGAAUCCAUUAUUUCCCCUUCAACCAAUCUCAUCAGCCCCAUUGGUUUGCCAAGUCUCUUACCAUUCCGUUCCCUAUCGGCUAUGCUCCAAGACAUAGCCGCCAUAAAGGCGGAAGUGACCGGAGCAAGCCCGAGAUCGCGAAGUAUCGAGAGAGAGCUAUUCAUCUUAAUCUUCUAG